rnacentral:rRNA from 1 species
AGAGUUUGAUCAUGGCUCAGGAAUGAACGCUAGCGGGAGGCCUAACACAUGCAAGCCGAGCGGUAUUGUUUCUUCGGAAAUGAGAGAGCGGCGCACGGGUGCGGAACACGUGUGCAACCUGCCUUUAUCUGGGGGAUAGCCUUUCGAAAGGAAGAUUAAUACCCCAUAAUAUAUUAGAUGGCAUCAUUUAAUAUUGAAAACUCCGGUGGAUAGAGAUGGGCACGCGCAAGAUUAGAUAGUUGGUGAGGUAACGGCUCACCAAGUCAAUGAUCUUUAGGGGGCCUGAGAGGGUGAUCCCCCACACUGGUACUGAGACACGGACCAGACUCCUACGGGAGGCAGCAGUGAGGAAUAUUGGACAAUGGGUGAGAGCCUGAUCCAGCCAUCCCGCGUGAAGGACGACGGCCCUAUGGGUUGUAAACUUCUUUUAUACUGGGAUAAACCUACUCUCGUGAGGGUAGCUGAAGGUACAGUAUGAAUAAGCACCGGCUAACUCCGUGCCAGCAGCCGCGGUAAUACGGAGGGUGCAAGCGUUAUCCGGAUUUAUUGGGUUUAAAGGGUCCGUAGGCGGACUCGUAAGUCAGUGGUGAAAUCUCAUAGCUUAACUAUGAAACUGCCAUUGAUACUGCGGGUCUUGAGUAAAGUAGAAGUGGCUGGAAUAA